rnacentral:rRNA from 1 species
CGCCCUUGGGGAAUUUUCCGCAAUGGGCGAAAGCCUGACGGAGCAAGACCGCGUGAGGGAGGAAGGCUCUUGGGUUGUAAACCUCUUUUCUCAGGGAAGAAGCUCUGACGGUACCUGAGGAAUCAGCCUCGGCUAACUCCGUGCCAGCAGCCGCGGUAAUACGGAGGAGGCAAGCGUUAUCCGGAAUUAUUGGGCGUAAAGCGUCCGCAGGUGGCGAUUCAAGUCUGCUGUCAAAGCACGGGGCUUAACUCCGUUAAGGCAGUGGAAACUGAAUAGCUAGAGUGCCGUAGGGGUAGAGGGAAUUCCCGGUGUAGCGGUGAAAUGCGUAGAGAUCGGGAAGAACAUCGGUGGCGAAAGCGCUCUACUGGACGGCAACUGACACUCAGGGACGAAAGCUAGGGGAGCGAAUGGGAUUAGAUACCCCAGUAGUCAAG